AAAUGUGUUCUCCUUUUUUUUUUGUCUUGCUGAGAAUUAAUAAUAGACAAUUGGCUUUUUCCGCAUCUGUUCACAAAAGACGAAAGAUGUUCCACAAUCACAUGGAUCUGAAAAUUAUCUUUCUUUUAGCUGGAUGUUCAGUGACUUCCAGCCUAUUUCCACCUCCACUUAUUUUUGGGACUAUGACUUCUGACAGCCUCAGUGAAGGAGAAACCAUCAAAAUAGCAUGUUGGGCACCUGAGCGGUAUGUGAAUGCCUGGUUUUUUUUGCUCAGGCUGAACCAAAGUCACCCAGUUCAGAGAGUGCCUGCUGCAGAAACCAAGCAUGAUGUUAGUUUCCUUCUAGAGAACAUCACCACAGCUGAUGGAGGGCAGUACCAGUGUCAGUAUGGUCUGUACAAUGGUAGCAAAUUGCUUCUGUCUAAACUCAGCCAAGUCCUGGAGUUUUCAGUGAAAGGGUCCAGCUUGACUACCUCUAUUCCAACAUUCCUUCCAAGGCAUGAUCCACAAGGUUCAGUCUGGUAUCUCCCCGUUGUUCUGAGUGUGGUUGGAGUACUGCUUCUACUAGUGAUCAUAGUGGUGACGGUGGCUGCUGUGAAGUACUGGAGACAGAAUCCUGUUGGACAAAAAGAAGCUAUCCGGCGACAGAAACAUCCAUUGAUAACUGUGUGUUCACUGUUACAAUGGUAAGUGAUUCUCAGAAGAACUGCAAAC
rnacentral:lncRNA from 1 species